rnacentral:rRNA from 1 species
AACGAACGCUGGCGGCAUGCCUAACACAUGCAAGUCGAACGAACCCUCCGGGGGUAGUGGCGCACGGGUGCGUAACGCGUGGGAAGCUGCCCUUUGCUUUGGAAUACCUCUGGGACACUGGUGCUAAUGCCGGAUGAUGUCUUCUGACCAAAGAUUUAUCGGCAAGGGAGGAGCCCGAGUAGGAUUAGGUAGUCGGUGGGGUAAAGGCCUACCACGCCGAGGAUCCUUAGCUGGGUUGAGAGCAGGAGCAGCCACUCUGAGACGAGGACGCGGCCCAGAAUCCUACGCGAGGGAGGAGAGGGUGAUAUAGGACUACCGGGGCAAGGCUGAACGAGCAAUGGCGCGAGAGUGAUGAAGGUCCGCGGGAAGUAAAGCUCUUUUACCAGGGAUGAUAAUGACGGUACCUGGAGAAUAAGCACCGGCUAACUCCGUG